CAUUCUGCUGAAAGUCACCAGAUAAGAUGGUCACGCUGUAAACUGGAACACCUUUAGCUGAUUUGAAGUGGUUGGUUUGAAUUAAUUCAUCACCCUUACUUAUCAGACAGAGUAUUUUUUUAAAGAGAACUAUUUGAAGAUUGUGAAAUGACAUUUAAUUCACGGUUCUGAUGAAUGGCCAGCCCUGUGCGUCCCUGUGCGUCCCUGUGCGUCCAUGCAUUACAGGUUACAACGUGAGUUACGUCACAUGUCGUUUCAGGAGAAGACCCCCCCUAAAGGAAAGUCUGCACAGAUUCAACCCGACCUCCCAGAUAAGAUUAAAACAGGUCAGAGAGCUGAAUCAGCUGCACCAGGAGCUGAGAAGAUAUCCGGGCUCAACCAGGUUCAAGGACUCCUCAGGACGGCAGAUGCUGCCAUGCAUGGGCCUGAACUCCCGCCCUAACCCUCCCCGUGUGUUCCUGCUGUCCUAACUGUGAAUGCUUUUGUGCGAUGUCCUCGGGGAAAUAACGGCAGAGAGACGGCGGGAUGCAGCCUCUGGAAUCGGGUGUGAAAUUAACAGGAGGCACGUUAUUCCAGGGUGCUGCUUAACCAGUGUGAAAAACAGAUAGUGACAGCGAUAACAAAGACGGUAAUGAAAAAACCCUCUCAUCUCGUCUCUGCGGGCUCAACCCUCCAGCAGCUAUUUGUCACGGGCAGAUGUUCCAGGGAACCGUGACCUCUUCGUGCGGUUGCAGGGGAAUGGGAGCUCGGCGCCGGUUCUGAUUGGAAACCUGCAGAGGGGCGAGGGCACGGUCAAGGGUCAGCAUCAAAAGUGGUCCAAGGAAGGAGAACCAGUGGCGGACGGGCAACAAGGUCAUUGGUGGAGCUCAAGGUUCCCCAGAUCUCAAUCCAAUCCAGCAUCUGUGGGAUGAGCUGGACAACCAAGUCUGAUCCGUGGAGGACUUUAAGGAUCUGCAGAGUCCAUACUUGAUCAGGUAAGGGCUUAAAAUCGAUGCAUAGAAGUAGAGACGUGUGGACAGCUUCAUGCACGCUCUGUUCAGCCUCAUCCUGUUUUUUUCCACUCACUAUAAAAACAUGAACGAGUGUUUCUGUCUGAUGAC